GCCCCGCGCCCGGCCCGCCGCCCCCGCCCCCCUACGGGAGGCAGCAGUAGGGAAUCUUCCACAAUGGACGAAAGUGUGAUGGAGCAACGCCGCGUGAGUGAAGAAGGUUCUCGGAUCGUAAAACUCUGUUGUGAGGGAAGAACAAGUACCGGAGUAACUGCCGGUACCUUGACGGUACCUCAUUAGAAAGCCACGGCUAACUACGUGCCAGCAGCCGCGGUAAUACGUAGGUGGCGAGCGUUGUCCGGAAUCAUUGGGCGUAAAGCGCGCGCCGGCGGUCCCUUAAGUCUGAUGUGAAAGCCCACGGCUCAACCGUGGAGGGUCAUUGGAAACUGGGGGACUUGAGUGCAGAAGAGGAAAGCGGAAUUCCAAGUGUAGCGGUGAAAUGCGUAGAGAUAAGGAGGAACACCAGUGGCGAAGGCGGCUUUCUGGUCUGUAACUCACGGGA
rnacentral:rRNA from 1 species